UACGAAGGGGGCUAGCGUUGCUCGGAAUUACUGGGCGUAAAGGGAGCGUAGGCGGACAGUUUAGUCAGAGGUGAAAGCCCAGGGCUCAACCUUGGAAUUGCCUUUGAUACUGAUUGUCUUGAGUUUGGGAGAGGUGUGUGGAACUCCGAGUGUAGAGGUGAAAUUCGUAGAUAUUCGGAAGAACACCAGUGGCGAAGGCGACACACUGGCCCAAUACUGACGCUGAGGCUCGAAAGCGUGGGGAGCAAACAGG
rnacentral:rRNA from 1 species